AUGGGUAGCCUCAGUCAGAUGGAUGGAGAGAAAUGCAGCCUUGAGGAACUGUUUUAAACACGUGUGAUCAGAAACUCUAGAAAAAAAGAAUUUCAGCAUAUAUUUUGGCUACUUUCCAAAAUGUGAGUUUAUUUGGAAUUAUUUCUAGAACUAGGUGGGUGGGCACCAAAAUCUUUUUCUUGUUUAAAGCCCUGGAAGGAGCGAGGGUUUGACAGGAGCCCCAAACAUGCCUCCAAGAGAAGAGGCCAGGGGGAGUGUCGCGAUGAAGGCCCUGUGGCUUGAGACAAAUGAGAAGAGAGGGAGAGAGCUGAGACGCGGGCUGUUCGCUUGGUGGUUCCUCAGUCGCCAGGGCAGCCUGACUGUGAAGGAGCUGCUGCAGCUCGCGGGAGCCCAGGAACAGUGACCCCGCCCUCGGAUCCCAGGUGCACGAGGCUGGCUGAGAUUUCAACGACAGUAGUCAGGUCUGCACAUGGGGAAAGGUCACGGCUCAUAAUAGCUUGGAUUGUUCAACCUAGACAUGUGCGGAUUAGGAAACAAGACGCAGAGAGACUCCGACCCGCUCAAGGUGAAAGUUCCACUUGGUGGCUGAGCCAGCCAAGGAUGCCUGCGUCCUGACAUCCAGCCCUGAGCUCUUCUGAAGAUGAGGGGACUCUUAAGAAUACACAAUACUUCCAGGCUUUUUGUUCCGACAGAAGUAAGUUUGCAAAGCAGUUGCGGAGGACUCUCUGAAGAAGGGCAAACAGUCCCCGAGGGGGUGGAGCUGCUGGCUCCAGGAGCUCUGUUGCCAGCAAGUAUUAAUUCACUCCGGCUGGCGCUGUCUUGGGGGCCUCCCGCGCACAAUAGCAUUAAGAGUGUUGGCAGCUGCGGAGGGAGAAGGCCCGCUCCACCUGGGAAUGAGGAAGAUGUGACUCCUCGCAAGGUUGCUCUCCUCCCAGCUCCCGCUCUUGGGAGAGAUGAUCAGUGCUUACGGGCCUGGGAGCAGGCUGCUGAGGACACAGUGUUCCCGGGGAUGGUGGCAGAUCUUGGAGAAGGGACAGAAGCUGGGCCAAGAGACUGGAACUUAUGCAAAUCAGGCCUGAGGAUGGUUCAAGGAGGGGGCAGCCCCUGCCUUAUGCCUCCCCGUCAGCAUACCCAGAACCAGACUCCUCAGGAGGAACAUCUUUUGUCUUCAAUGCUAAGCUUGUUCACGAGGAUGUGUGUGAGCAAAAUAUUGCUUAGGAAUGUGCACUCUGGAGCAGACUGUGUGGGUUCAAAUCCUGGCAUCAUCAUUAACCAGCUGUGUGACUCUGGGCAAGAAAAAUUGUGGAAGCUCUCUGACUUUUUUUU
rnacentral:lncRNA from 1 species